rnacentral:rRNA from 1 species
AGAUUGAACGCUGGCGGCAUGCCUAACACAUGCAAGUCGAACGGCAGCACAGGGUAGCUUGCUAUCCGGGUGGCGAGUGGCGGACGGGUGAGUAACGCGUAGGAAUCUACCUUUUCGUGGGGGAUAACCCGGGGAAACUCGGGCUAAUACCGCAUACGCCCUACGGGGGAAAGCGGGGGACCUUCGGGCCUCGCGCGGAACGAUGAGCCUGCGUCCUAUCAGGUAGUUGGUGAGGUAAUGGCUCACCAAGCCGACGACGGGUAGCUGGUCUGAGAGGACGACCAGCCACACUGGGACUGAGACACGGCCCAGACUCCUACGGGAGGCAGCAGUGGGAAUAUGGACAAUGGGGGAAACCCUGAUCCAGCAAUACCGCGUGUGUGAAGAAGGCCUUCGGGUUGUAAAGCAACUUUUAGCUAAGGAAAGAAAGGACUGUGCGACUAAGUACCG